AAAAAAAAAGCCUGCUUUUUCUAAGCCUAAGUUUUUUGUAUUGUGUAUCUGUGGCACAUUUGACUUAAAUUAGCGGCUUUUUUCUCUAGGUUGACAUGAAAUGAAAAUCCUAAGAGUGAAGACCCUGGAUUGAGCACAAUCCUUGGUGUAAAUAAUGAUCUAUUAUUUUUCUUGAAUGAAUGAAUGUUUUCUUACAGAAGAAACUGCACCUGUCUUUCCCACUGUCCCAUUCCUCAUCCCCUGACGACAUUCAUGUAGGAUUUGUGAAAUUAAUUUCACAUGGCUCUUUGGAUUCCCCUCCUUGGAACCAGGCCUGAAAAUUGGGUAGGCUGUCCCCAAGUUGGGGUGAAAGGAAGAUGAUGCCCUUGGAACUAAGCAAAGUGGCAUAAUUAGUUGGUUAAUUCAAGGUCAAAUCUCACAUUGGUCCCAAUUGCUUAUGACCAGGCACAGAGGUUGCAAACUCAAACACUUACAUGGGCCAGGUAGAGAAUGAGUGACACGGGCCAGGUGUGAUAAUAGGAGGAGGAGAGGAGUGUGGUAGGUAAUCUGGACGUUUAUGCCCCGUCUACAGAGGCAGCCCCUUGUUGAGUAAUAGCUGGUUGAUGCCAAGAGAAAUUGGAAAACUUAAUUUUUAGGUAGAAAUUUCCUAUUUGAAAAACUCCUGGGAAGGCCAAAUAAAGUUCAUAGGCAGAAAAGUUGAGACCCAACAGUCAUCUUGUUACUUUUCCCGCCACACAUCUUGGGUGUGCUCCCCCCUUUGGGGGGCGUGCAGCUGUGAGUUUCUGAAAUUCUCCCACGAUUCUGGGCCAUGGGGAAGCCAAGUGGAGGCUGUUAUUGUCAUCCACAGCUUCUCACCCCUGCACUAAGGAGCAGGGCCGGCUCACUUCCUCUGGGGCCACCUCCUUUCCCAAACACAAAGUCCCCUAAUCAUGUCCUCACUCAGAACCUAAAGAAGAUGGCUAGCCACAGAAAUCACUCACUUAGACAGCCAAGUGUGGGUCAGAUGCCCGAAGGCUUCUGGGGAAACUGACAUCUCUCAAGAAGUACAAUUACUGUUGAGGCUUGAAAAUUGGGUCUGUAAAUACGAGAGGCAAAGCAAAGCAGGCUAUUCAUUCGUCUGCUGUUUUUCACGAAACAAAGUGAGUCAACAGGUAUUUAAACACUCAGGCCACUGUGGCGUGACUCUCUCAGAAGAUCAUUUUCUGUGGUUUCAGUGUCUUCUGCUAACUGUCACCUUUUGUCCUCUCUGGUUCUCUGGCCAGAGACCCCAGAUGACUUUCAUACAGUCAACUGGGCCCCUCUGCAGGGUCACGAGGUGGACAAACCUUGUCAGCCCGGCCAAGGUCUGAGUGUUUACUCAGGAUCUAAUAGAGGCAGGAAACAGUGACAAUCCUUGAAACCAAAUCCACAGACCCAAACCAAAUCCUCCAAGUUCCCUAUAACCCAGCUGCCCCCCCACACCUGACACCAUCCGGCUCACUGUGACCCAGUUUUAUCGAGCAUCCCAGGUGCAGAGAGCACUGAUUUCCCCCAUGUGCUCAGGUUGCUUACAGUGAUGUGCAGGAAGGAGACGAUCACACAACCACAGCAAGAGGCACAAGGGACAGAACACUGGGCACAGAACAUGGCACUCAACGCGUACGUGUGGGAUGAGUGAAUGCAUGAAUAGAACGCUGUGUCCUUCUGCUUGUGGAGCAACUCUGCGUAGAAGGAUGCAGGCACAGGGAGAGGCAGGAGCCUGGAGUAGAUGGUUGGGGCCAGAGAACUGAAAAACCACCCAGACCAUGGUUUCUGCAGGGGGCAGGUACUGAUAAUCACCCCUCAGAAAACUACCUGGAUAAUCAACAUGAUCAGUGUAUAUAACUGAUCACGGAAAUAUCAACAUCCUGGCUGGGGGGCGGGGGAGGGGGUUGUAUAGUCUGGAAUUCCAGGGCACAUGAAAUGGGGACACUAUUUGGAUAUUGAACUAUUUGACAUCUCCUUUCAUGAUGUCCUGUGGCUUCCCAUCAAUUGACUUAGUGAGUUUUACUGCUUCAAGGAAAGGCAGAUGCAAGAAUAAAGGUAGAAUAAAAACACAUUGUAAUAAAUUGUAUGGUUCCGUUUUUAUGAAAUUCUAGAACGGGGAAACUAACAUAUGGUGGAAACAACUCAGGACAGCAGGUGCUCUGGGAGUAUGGGGGUGGCAACCGACUUGGAGGAGACAUAGAAGAAAUUUCUGGGGUGACAACAUGGUACACAGGUGUCAGCAUUUGUCAAACUGUGAAUAUAUGGUUUGGAUUUUUCUAUUUCAUCGUACAUGAAUUUUAGCUUCCCCAAAUAAAAUCUAGUUAAUGGUAAGCAUCCUGAGGCAUUUGGGAUGUCCAUGAUGCCUGCAAUCGACUUUAUGCUUCAUAAUUACGAGGGGACAGACAGACAUGGGAAAGCAAGCAGAGUACAGCGGGAUCUCUAGAGUGGCCUCUCACCCUCUCUGGCUCAGGGAUGGGUAAUCCCUUUGCUGACCAGCCACUGGAUGGAGUGGACUGGGUGAGUCAGGGCAUACCA